rnacentral:rRNA from 1 species
AUUGAACGCUGGCGGCAGGCUUAACACAUGCAAGUCGAGCGAGCGGCGGACGGGUGAGUAAUGUCUGGGAAACUGCCUGAUGGAGGGGGAUAACUACGGGAAACGGUGGCUAAUCCGGAUUACCUUCGGCGGUGCCCGGAUGGGAUUAGCUAGUAGGUGGGGUAAUGGCUAACAUAGGCGACGAUCCCUAGCUGGUCUGAGAGGAUGACCAGCCACACUGGAACUGAGACACGGUCCAGACUCCUACGGGAGGCAGCAGUGGGGAAUAUUGCACAAUGGGCGCAAGCCUGAUGCAGCCAUGCCGCGUGUGUGAAGAAGGCCUUCGGGUUGUAAAGCACUUUCAGCGAGGAGGCGUUACUCGCAGAAGAAGCACCGGCUAACUCCGUGCCAGCAGCCGCGGUAAUUC